rnacentral:rRNA from 1 species
UACGUAGGGGGCAAGCGUUGUCCGGAUUCAUUGGGCGUAAAGAGCUCGUAGGCGGUUCGGCAAGUCGGAUGUGAAAUCCCUCGGCUCAACCGAGGAACUGCACCCGAUACUGGUUGGCUAGAGUCCGGGAGGGGGUAGCGGAAUUCCCAGUGUAGCGGUGAAAUGCGUAGAUAUUGGGAAGAACACCGGUGGCGAAGGCGGCUACCUGGACCGGUACUGACGCUGAGGCGCGAAAGCCAGGGGAGCGAAUGGG